AGAACGUCAGUAAAACAUAAAGGAAAAUCUACCCUCCGUCCUGUAAUAUUUGGGAAAAUGUUAGGCUUUGUAGGAUAUCUCGUCUAACCUCUCUAACAUACACACUGGUGUGUGUAUGUGUGUGUGAGUGUUAUUGCUAGUUAUCUCUCUCUCUGUCAGUAGUUGCACAGGUCUUCAAGGAUAUUUUUAAGGUUUUAAUGACAGAUUAACAACAUUUCUACAUUAAUAACAGGAGAUACACCAUUGAAAACCCUGAUAAUCAUCUUUAUAGCUUUGAAAAACAGUCGUGAGGAGAGAGAGAGAGAGAGUAUGAGCAUUUCAAUUGAGCCUAUUCUGCCCUGGUUUGUGUUUGCUGCGGUGACACGGUGCCGCACUGAGUGAAGAUUGCGUUCAUAAUCACUUAUUUGGGGUGGAGUGGGGAAAGGAGAGUCAGGAAGUGAGGAUAUUUAUAUUAUUUGACAUAUUAUUUGAUAACAUGUCAACUUUUGUGUGUGUGUGUGUGUGUGUGUGUGUGUGUGUGCGCGGGGGUGGGUGUUGGAUCAGUGACAGGUGGCGCUGCUGGGGAGUUACCACUGCGAGCGGCUGGCUGGCUGCAGUGUUUUGGUCAGCACUGGUCAGUCUUGCCCCACACGCUCUAUUAACCAGUGUUUCCGUCUUCCCGACACCUUCUUCCUGCACCAAGCACCGUCAAGCAUCACCAGAGAGGCACGAGUACGUAAGCUAUCCAACAUCAGAACAGUAUAUGAAUAUGGCAAAUGCUGUUUUGACAUCAUUUCCUGCCAUCCUGAGAAACAGUGAUCUCGAGGAGCAUGAAAUGCAGCUGCAAUGGAAAUUGCGCAUCCAGUGCAAGUUUCAGAAUUCAAGAAAGAGGCAGGAUUCCUCAGUGACUGAGGUGACGUCAAGGAAAAAGAAGAUCCCUUGCAUAGCGCCAAAAGAGACUACAUGUCCACUGAUGUAUGGAGUAAAGGCUAACCUUCCACCAAGGCUUCAUUCAGAAGAUGAUGAGUCAUUAGAGAGACAUAGACAGUGGCUUGCUCUACACUGGAUGAAGAAAGAUCCCGAGUUAGAUAAGAUAAUCAAGGAGUUCCUGAGAUUAGAACCACAAGCGGAUGAACCAGACCCAAGUGUAGCAGUUUUGAAAGGGCUGGAGAAAUAUAGGCUCCCAAUAAUUGCCAUUCUCAAAAAAAGAAAAGCAGUUCCUCUGUAUAUGGAAACCUUACUUGAACUCUAUGACCACGAUGAAAGUCAAUGUGAGUAAUGUCUAGUUCAACUUGUUCAUUUCAGUAGCUGGUAGCAAUUUAAUAUAUGUAUCUUUUCAUCAUUAGCAAUGCAUCUUUCACUUUUAUAAGCCUAGUAUUCAUGAAACUAUGCUGCAUGGAAAAACCAAACAUUGUAUUAAGCAUGACCUAUCUAACUGUAAUGCUUGCACCAAUUUCUAUAAAGGUACUCAUUUAAUUGUUAAAUUCCUGCUCUUCUAUCAAAUUUUUGGCUGAGUGCUAUGGCUAAAUAAUUGUUUGCAGCAUAAGUGAUGUUAAAGAUUUUAAUAGGUGUAAAGCAUCUCUCUCUCUCUCUCUCUUUCUCUCUCUCUCUCUCUCGUAAGGAAAGACAUUAUUUCUAGUGUAAAUACACCCAAUAGGCUGUCCAAUUUGAAAUUUAGAAUGUAAAUAUUAUCAAUCUUUUUAGAAAUGUUAGCUGCAUCCUCUUCCCUUGCAGUCCAAUAAGACAGGUCACUAAUUCGCGUGGAGAUAGAAUUCUUGGAGUCACCUUUGCCGGCGCUAGCGCAAGUGCAAACAGUCUGAUAAAGGUACCAGAAGAAGAACUAAGAACAGGGCAGUCUAGUGUGUAUUUGAUGGUGCACCUGUAGCUGAACCAACAUGUAUUUCUAUGGCUGUAGUCUCAUUGGUAGUAUUGCUUUAUGUUUAAUAUUGAACACCCAAAAAAUUGUGAACAUUUCCUCCAUUUCACAACAUCCCAUCUCUUAGGUAUCAAGUAUGACAAAGGUAACACUUCAAAAAGAAGAUCUCUACUUGUAAAACUCAAUGAAGUAAAGACAGAAUUGAGCUACAAAAAUGCGUAAAUCUGCUUCCAAAUAUAUUCAACUCCACACAUAAUGCCUCUCUCUCUCUCUCUCUCUCUCUCUCUCUCUCUCUC